rnacentral:rRNA from 1 species
GGCGAGCAGCGUGAGUCGGACCGUGUCGACGGCGUCGAACAGCGGCUCCUUGUCCUCCUGCAUGUCCUUGUUGUAGGUGAGCGGUAAUCCCUUGAGCGUGGUGAGGAAACCCGUGAGGUGGCCGAUGAGUCGACCUGCCUUGCCCCGGGCGAGUUCGGCGAUAUCGGGGUUCUUCUUUUGGGGCAUCAUCGACGACCCGGUCGAGAAUCCGUCGUCGAGGGUCACGAAUCCGAACUCCGUCGAUGCCCACAGGAUCCACUCCUCGCCGAUACGGCUCAGGUGCACCCCGAGCAACGACAGGGCGAAGAGCGCCUCGGCCACAAAGUCUCGAUCGGCGACACCGUCAAGGCUGUUGUCGAAGACCGCAUCGAAGCCGAGAUAGGCGGCGGACUUUUCCGGGUCGAGCGGCAACGACGAACCGGCCAGCGCUCCCGCGCCGAGCACCGAGACAUUGGUGCGCUUGCGGGCGUCGACGAGCCGCUCGGCGUCGCGAGCCAGAGCCCAGGCGUGGGCGAGCAGAUGGUGCGAGAGGGCGACGGGCUGUGCCUGCUGGAGGUGGGUGUAACCGGGUAGGUAGGCGUCGCCCGCCUGCUCGGCGUGGGCCAGGAGCGUGCGCUGCAGACGCUCGAUGAGGUCGAGUACCUCGUCGAUCGCCGAACGGGUCCAGAGCCGGAGAUCGGUGGCGACCUGAUCAUUGCGGCUGCGGCCGGUGUGCAUCUUGGCGCCAGCGGGCUCAAGUUCGGUGACUCGACGCUCGACAGCGGUGUGGAUGUCCUCGUCGUUGACCUGGAAGUCGAACGAGCCCGACUCGAUCUCGUGCUCGACCGUGUCGAGGGCCGCGAGCACAGCGUCACGCUCGGCCUCGGUGAACAGGCCGACAUCGCAGAGCAUGCGGACAUGCGCCCGAGACCCGGCGAUGUCCUCACGGAACAUGCGCUGGUCGAACGGCAGACUGUCGUUCAGCGCCUGCAGCGCCUCCGACGGGCCGUCGGCGAACCGG